UACGUAGGGUGCGAGCGUUGUCCGGAAUUAUUGGGCGUAAAGGGCUCGUAGGCGGUUUGUCGCGUCGGGAGUGAAAUCCACUGGCUUAACUGGUGGCUUGCUUUCGAUACGGGCAGACUGGAGGUAUGCAGGGGAGAACGGAAUUCCUGGUGUAGAGGUGAAAUUCGUAGAUAUCGGGAGGAACACCAGUGGCGAAGGCGGCGAUCUGGGCAGAUACUGACGCUGAGGUGCGAAAGCGUGGGGAGCAAACAGG
rnacentral:rRNA from 1 species